ensembl:snRNA U6 U6 spliceosomal RNA
GUGCUUGCUUUGGCAGCACAUAUACUAAAAUUGGAACAAUACAAAGAAGAUUAGCAUGGCCCCUGAGCAAGGAGGACACACAAAUUCGUGGAGUCUUCCAUAUUUUU